rnacentral:misc_RNA from 1 species
GAUGAAGAACGUAGCGAAAUGCGAUAAGUAAUGUGAAUUGCAGAAUUCAGUGAAUCAUCGAAUCUUUGAACGCACAUUGCGCCCGUCAGUAUUCUGGCGGGCAUGCCUGUUCGAGCGUCAUUACGCCCCUCAAGUCCCCUGUGGACUUGGCGUUGGGGAUCGGCGAGGCUGGUUUUCCAGCACAGCCGUCCCUUAAAUUAAUUGGCGGUCUCGCCGUGGCCCUCCUCUGCGCAGUAGUAAAACACUCGCAACAGGAGCCCGGCGCGGUCCACUGCCGUAAAACCCCCCAACUUUUUAUAGUUGACCUCGAAUCAGGUAGGACUACCCGCUGAACUUAAGCAUAUCAAUAAGCGGAGGA